rnacentral:rRNA from 1 species
GACAUAGGUGGCAAACGUUAUCCGGAAUUAUUGGGCGUCAAGGGUGCGUAGGUGGUUUAAUAAGUUGUUGGUGGGAAACCGGGGCUCACCCCCGUGGAAGUCAGUAAUACUAUUGAACUAGAGGGCUGGAGAAGUUAACGGAAUUCUAUGUGUAGCGGUAAAAUGCUCAAAUAUAUAGAGGAACACCAGAAGGCGAAAGCAGUUAACUAUUCGGUGCCUGACGUUGAGGCACGAAAGCGUGGGGAGCAAGACGG